CUUCAUCACCUGAUGGGAUUGUCCAAUCACAGCCUCGUGAAUGCAGAGUCUGUCUGCCGCAGUCAUGAGAGGAUCGUGUUUCGUGCGAGAGACUCUGUUUUCGGGAUAAAUAACUUGCUGAAGUCGACACGACACUGGUUCCCUGGAGGAGAAGAUGAGUGCGUGGGAAAGCAAAGCCACGGGCCCGGUGUGGAGGAGUCGAGGCGGAGAAGACAGGCGCACAGUCCCUGAAUUAAGGUGAGGCGAAGCUAUUGCUAACUGCUAAACUAACUCUCAGAUUUGAAACACGUGUGAACCACUGUGGGAUUAGCUCGACAGUUGCUAAAAGUAGAAUAAAGCAUCGAGUGCUUUAGCUAAGCUAGUGCAUGUUUAAAUAGGUAUUAACUAAUUAAAUCAAACAGUUUGUUUUCGGUUUGUUUUUUCAUAAACUUAACUUUUCUCGUUUUUUUUAUUUUUGUAGGAAGCUCUAUGUCUCUUCACAGUUCUGAUGAAAAUGGCCGGCGGAGCAAGGCCUGACACAGUCACUGCACAUUAUGCCGAGACUCGCUGAAAGUCCACUUUUGCAGUGCGGGCUAACGACGCCAUUGUACCUGCCUGUACUAUGACUUACUAAGACCCACUAUGAGCCAGUAUAUGAAGGAGAUUCCAGUUCAUCCAUGCAGACCUUGCAUUAGCAUUGAGGAGUUCAGGAGUCGGCAGAGAAGAAAGAGGCUGAUUGAAGCGGGACAGAUGACAUGGAUCCAUCCUUCCACAGCCAGGAGCUCACCGACCUGUGUGCCACACUUCAAAUAAGACUAGAGACUACACUGGAUCUCACAGCUACACACCACAGACGUCUACACACCACAGAUGUCAACACACUGGGGCAGAUUCGGACAGAGUCCCACAAAGAACAUAUGACCCAAGCUUCACCUGAUUAGCUUUUCACUGGCUAGGCUAGUUGUGUUUGUACAAUAUUUGUGAUGUAUGUAAAUAAAGCUUUGACUCAACAUAUACCUCGUUCAUGUUCCCCACAUGUGUGCUGCAAUGACCUAGGGUGACCAAUGGCAACACUUCUACCAGCCGAUCACAAGUGACUUUCCGCGUUUGUUUCCUCUAUUGGGGAAUCGAGAGAGGCUCAGCAGCGGCUUCGCCCUGAGUCAUAUGCUAAUUAGAUAACACCUCCGCUCCGCGGAUACUGCCAGUUAUGCUUCUAAUUGGGCUGUAUGCCUGCAGAAUCAUGCACACAUCAACUGUAAAGCACGAUAGUCUGCACAAUUAUGUAAAUACUCACAAAAUGUAUCAAAAUGUAUAAAAACAGUCAACCAGAGAAGAUAGGAAAUAAAGAGCAUUUACCUGCAA